rnacentral:rRNA from 1 species
GACGAACGCUGGCGGCGUGCUUAACACAUGCAAGUCGAACGAUGAACCGGCUUCGGCCGGGGAUUAGUGGCGAACGGGUGAGUAACACGUGGGCAAUCUGCCCUGCACUCUGGGACAAGCCCUGGAAACGGGGUCUAAUACCGGAUAUGACGCGCUUCCGCAUGGGAUGCGCGUGGAAGGCUCCGGCGGUGCAGGAUGAGCCCGCGGCCUAUCAGCUUGUUGAUGAGGUAAUGGCUCACCAAGGCGACGACGGGUAGCCGGCCUGAGAGGGCGACCGGCCACACUGGGACUGAGACGCGGCCCAGACUCCGACGGGGGGGAGCAGAGGGGAAUAUUGCAAAAUGGGAGAAAGCCUGAUGGAGCGACGCCGCGUGAGGGAUGACGGCCUUCGGGUUGUAAAGCUCUUUUGCCAGGGACGAUGAUGACGGUACCUGGAGGAUAAGCCCCGGCUAACUUCGUGCCAGCAGCCGCCGUAACAC